AUCAAAAGUUUGUUAGUGUAGGAAAACGUCAUUAGUAUUGCCAAAACAAGGACAAAUACUCAUUAUCAAACCGGUUUAAAUGUUGCGCGAGAAACGAAUUCACAACACUAAGAUUUCUACGUACCGAUACAUGAUAAGUAUUGAAUUAUGUCUGACUGACCGACCGGGGCGAUACCUAGCCUAUAUUCACGUCUUGGUUAGUAACCGCCAUUCUGUGUCAUUCUUUCUAUCUUAGGAAAACUUGGCGACCGUGUCCAGACAACUUACUUUCAUGUCACUAUCUCAUGAAACUCUUGGCACACUAUUUUUACAAAAAAAAGUUUUUUGUGUUUUUAUAAUAUUUUAUUUCCAUUAAAGAUAUGCGUUGCACAUAGAAAUACAUUAAAAAUCCCCUUUCAUUUCUUUUAUAACCUCAGAUCUAUCCCUCUAAGUCUUGAGGUUAAGGAGCAUCUUUUCUCACCACUCUCCAGGCUUUUAAGCAAGGAAGACAGAUCAUUUCGCUGCACAGAAUAUCGAGCUUUCAUCCAUUCAUUAGUGCUUCAUGGGGGUUUAGCGAAAUAUCAACAGGAAGUAUUAAAAUAGAAUAAAAAGACUAUUGGAAAUAUCGCAAGUGCACUGGAAUCAAUGGCUUUGGGGGACAGAGUGAGGGAAUCCUUCGACAACAUAUGGGUUGACAAAAUGGAUAUAUAGGAGAAAGGCUCUCGACUCCCUUAAUACGAAAAAAUGUAGUCCUUUAGGGCGUUGCAAUGUAGGAUUAGUUAUGUAUAUAUGUACAUAAUAGUAGAUAAGAUAUAUAUAUCUUGAGUGCGUUAAAAUUCCCAUCGGGAUCAUCAAUAAUUUAUCAUCAGCGGUUCUGGAGCAUUUAAGUUUACAUUUCUUCGAGAUCCGUACAUAUAAACAAUGGUUGAAAAAUCAUCACAUUUCUGCUGUAUGAAGUAACAUAAUUGCCUGCAGUGCUUCAGAGAUUUAGAGAGAAGAAAAACUCUUUUUCAGACCAACGUUUCACGGAAAUAAUUACCAUCAAGUAUUCUGUCAUUGCAAUGAAAGCUUGAAGUCAUUAAUGAUCAUAAUAUUUAUUAUUCCUGAGAAGACUUCCAAUGUUUCAAGGGCGUUUCGUCAGUUAUCAGUUUCUCAAAAUACACACAACUACUCCCAAUACACUGCAAUGAUACCAAUAGCGAAGGUGAGGAAAAUUGAAAAGAAAAAUAAUCUGAUAUUUAAGUGUCAAAAGAAUUUUUCGAGUGUUUUUUAACGCCCCAGUGGCAUCUUCUCAGGAGAAAAAUUUCAUAAUUGAAUGAUAAAUUAUUACCAACAAGUUCUCCAUGUGUGGGACAAUCAUUUCGAUAAAAAUUCCGUCUCACUCAUAAUAUUAAUAUUUAUUUCUUCUUUUGACGUUUCUUCGCGAUCAAAUACAUCAUUAUCGAUAUGAAUGAAAGUGAUGCAUUUUAGAAAGUACGGAGGAGAAACUACCGAUUUUACGUAAAAAAAACUGUUUAAAAAAUUCUGAGAUUAUUAUUAUGUUUGAUGUGAAACAUCUAUAGGCGCACUCCUAAACCGAAUCGUUGGCGUGGCGAUACUGGCCGUGGCGAGCAAUCGCCGCGCUAUACUAAGGUAUGCCUAUCUAUAUUCUGUGUAGUAGAGUGUACGGUGUGGCUUCUCACUCAGUUCGACGUUGUUGUUUACUACGGUACACAUAACCUGCGUUUUAUUUAAUUUUUCAUUUUAAUUUUUGACAAUAAAAUAUGUGUGACAGUGAUAACUCAGAAGAUCAAAGUGAUCAACCUUGUGCAAAGAAAGUGAAACUACACUAUGGUAUACUACCAAGUCAUCAGUAAGUAGAUCGUAUUUUUCAAGUCUCCAUAAAUGUAAUUAUCAUAUUUUUAUAUUUAAUUAAUUAUAUUCAUAUUAAUCAUAUUAAUAAUUUAUAUAAUUUAUAUUAAUAUUAUCUUCAAUUAAGUAUUCUUUUGUUGUGUUUGAUAAUAUUUUAUUUCUUAAAAAUUAAAUAUUUAAACAAUGUCUGGCGAAGUCGAGCAAGCAAAAUGCUUCGAUUUCCCAACUUCGGACAUUGGCCUCAUCCACAGAAUGCGAUGAGCAAAGCCCAAAUAGUGCGACGUCAACAUCGAACCAUCCGCACACGGGCAUUGACCGCAAACGCAUUUCCGACCCUUGUCAAAAUUAAAAAUCAGUCUUGUCCUAGCAUCGCGAACGAUCACACCAAGGGGCGAACUCCUUGAAACUUGAGAUACCUGAUUCCGGAAUCAGUCCAUAAUUCUGCCCGGCGUUUAUCUUUUGUUUCAAGUAUCGGGAAAAAUAAUCACAAGUACGCACAUCUUCGUAUUGAUUAUUCCCGCGGUUAGUUUUUGAACCGAAUGAUCUUGUGCGGUACCGUUUGACGGGUUGCAAAAUUACGCGUUACGGCUGCAGUGCAAGAUCGAGAGAGAGGACUCAUAUAAAAACAAACAAAUACAAAAUAGUGCAAGAAAGAAAAUUAAAAGAACAAUUAUAUAAAUCUAAAACUAGUGUUCUGAUUGGAGUGUGUCAGCAGCUGAAAGAUUCCCAACAAUCAUCAGACGGAUCACAAAAUAUUAUUAUUGAAACUGGACGUCACCCUGAUCAGUUAAACACAAGGCAUACUAUCAAUGUUGUGUAAGACUUUAUCAAUCGAAUAGUACCAGACUAUUUUAUACUAUUGCAUCUAUUGGAAAUAUGUGUUCUUCACAUGUUAAACUACAAGACGGAAGUGAAUUAAUUAUGAUUGUAAUAUACAUUUCACCUAAUAACAAAAUGGAUCAUCUCAUUUCAUUUUUACAUGAAAGCUGCAUAUUUCAAUGUAAAUUUUGCAAGAGCUGAAUCAAUGCCAUUAAUGACAUUUCUUCAAAAAGAAUUUUAAUGGCAAAUCAAUAACGAUCCAAAAGAAUCUACUACCAAAUAUGGAACAACAAUAGAUGCUGUAUUUGUGAGAUAUCUUGAUGGUGUUUCAUCCAAUACUUUUGUAACGUACUUUAGUUAUCAUCGACCAAUCGUCACAGUAAUACCGGCAGAGGAAAAGCGAAUAUAACUAUUAUUGAAGCCACAGAUGAAAAUAUUUAAAUUGUGGCAACUUGAUACUAAUAUCGAAUUUUUAUAUCAUGUAAAUAAAUGUUUAUUAAAUAAAGUUACCAUUUACUGUAAGAAUCUCGUAAUACUUCAUUUUUUCAUUAGGCUAUAUUUAAUUCCUGUAAUAAUAUUAUCUUUUAUGCAUAUUACUUGUACACACACGAUGUUUCACAUCUGCCAGGCGUCCCAUGACGGCUCAUUUUUUUCUAGUAUUAAUAUUAUAUAAUUUUUUUUGAAAACUUAACAAGCACCAUUAUCUUUGUUAACCAUGAAUUUUUUAUGGAAAAUACUUUCCACUAGAGUAGAGAACCGUUUUAGUAAAUUCGGAUGUAAUUUUUCAUGUGCAGAAUCACUAGAUUUUACUGAGGAAAAUCUAUAAAGUAACUAUAUUCAGGUCUCAUAAGACAGUAGCAAAUCGAUCUAACAGAUUUUAAAUCAUUUCCUCAUGGGACAAAUUUGAAUUUGAUG